AGUGAACGCUGGCGGUAGGCCUAACACAUGCAAGUCGAACGGCAGCACAGUAAGAGCUUGCUCUUACGGGUGGCGAGUGGCGGACGGGUGAGGAAUACAUCGGAAUCUACUUUUUCGUGGGGGAUAACGUAGGGAAACUUACGCUAAUACCGCAUACGACCUACGGGUGAAAGCAGGGGAUCUUCGGACCUUGCGCGAUUGAAUGAGCCGAUGUCGGAUUAGCUAGUUGGCGGGGUAAAGGCCCACCAAGGCGACGAUCCGUAGCUGGUCUGAGAGGAUGAUCAGCCACACUGGAAGUGAGACACGGUCAAGACUCCUACGGGAGGCAGCAGUGGGGAAUAUUGGACAAAGGGCGCAAGCCUGAUCCAGCCAUACCGCGUGGGUGAAGAAGGCCUUCGGGUUGUAAAGCCCUUUUGUUGGGAAAGAAAAGCAGCAGGUUAAUACCCCGCUGUUCUGACGGUACCCAAAGAAUAAGCACCGGCUAACUUCGUG
rnacentral:rRNA from 1 species